rnacentral:lncRNA from 10 species
GCUAAAAUAAGUUUUUGUUUGUUUAUUUGUUUUUGAGAUGGAGUCUCUACUAAAAAUACAAAAAAUUAGCCAGGCAUGGUGCCGCAUAACUAUAAUCCCAGCUACUUGGGAGGCUGAGGCAGGAGAAUCGCUUGAACCCGGGAGGCACAGGUGAUCUGCCCACCUCGGCCUUCCAAAGUGCUGGGAUUACAGGCAUGAGCCACUGCACCCAGCCUGAUCCUAUUGUUGCACUAUUUAUGGAGCAACAACUUUGUACAAAGAACAAGCUUUGUACAGAGAACAAGCUUGGCUUUUUCUCCCAACGCCGAGGAUGCUGUUGAUGCUGCCACGUAAUAGCAUAAUUUUGGGUGUCCUCAAGGACAGAACUUCCACUUUGAAUAAUGGAAGUUAGAACAAUGAAUUUCACAGGGGAAUAAAUAUUAAUGACUGACGUGAA